AUUGAACGCUGGCGGCAUGCCUAACACAUGCAAGUCGAACGGGGCAGCAAUGCCUAGUGGCGGACGGGUGAGGAAUACGUAGGAAUCUGCCCUUAAGUGGGGGAUAACCAGGGGAAACCCUGACUAAUACCGCAUGACCUCUUCGGAGCAAAGAGGGGGACCGCAAGGCCUCUCGCUUCUGGAUGAGCCUACGUCUGAUUAGCUAGUUGGUCGGGUAAAGGCCUACCAAGGCGACGAUCAGUAACUGGUCUGAGAGGAUGAUCAGUCACACCGGAACUGAGACCCCGUCCGGACUCCUACGGGAGGCAGCAGUGGGGAAUAUUGGACAAUGGGCGCAAGCCUGAGCCAGCAAGGCCGCGUGUGUGAAGAAGGCCUUCGGCUUGUAAAGCACUUUAGCCUGGAAAGAAAAAACUUUGGUUAACACCCAAAGUCUUGACGGUACCAGGAGAAUAAGCACCGGCUAACUCUGUGCCAGCAGCCGCCGUAACAC
rnacentral:rRNA from 1 species